ACCGCUCACAGGUUCGGUUCGGAUUCUCAGCGCUGGAGCAACAACUACUGAAGACCAAUUGAAGUGAAUGGAAAAAAGCACUCCGGAGGCCAGGCUGAAACGGAGGAUCAAUAAACUGAGGCAACAUCACAAUAAGUGCGAAGCUGAUUACAUGAAGAACUGUGCAAAACAGCUUUCAGCAAGAAUGGAGACCAGUGGGUGUUCAACAAAUGUGAUCAACAGUGACCAAGCACAAUGUUCUGCAGAAGUAGUAGAGAGCAGUGCCAGUAAAGACAGUGUAGAUGAACACUCUCAGCCAUUGUGUGAAAAUCAGUC